rnacentral:rRNA from 1 species
UACGGAGGGUGCAAGCGUUACCCGGAAUCACUGGGCGUAAAGGGCGUGUAGGCGGGACGUUAAGUCUGGUUUUAAAGACCGAAGCCCAACUUCGGGAGUGGACUGGAUACUGGCGCUCCAGACCUCUGGAGAGAGAACCGGAAUUCCUGGUGUAGCGGUGGAAUGCGUAGAUACCAGGAGGAACACCGAUGGCGAAGGCAGGUUCUUGGACAGAAGGUGACGCUGAGGCGCGAAAGUGUGGGGAGCGAACCGG